UACGUAGGGUCCGAGCGUUGUCCGGAAUUACUGGGCGUAAAGAGCUCGUAGGUGGUUUGUCGCGUUGUCCGUGAAAACUCACAGCUCAACUGUGGGCGUGCGGGCGAUACGGGCAGACUGGAGUACUGCAGGGGAGACUGGAAUUCCCGGUGUAGCGGUGAAAUGCGCAGAUAUCGGGAGGAACACCGGUGGCGAAGGCGGGUCUCUGGGCCGAUAUUGACGCUGAGGAGCGAAAGCGUGGGGAGCAACAGG
rnacentral:rRNA from 1 species